CCACGGUAGAUGAAACGCACUCGCCGUUCACAGCACGCUUUAUUUAACCUUGUCAGAAAUUAGGAAUGAGUCACAUAAAAUGCAUUCCUAGAUUUUUAAAAUUAAGCGUUACAAACUACAACACCAGAAUCGUACUCUAUGACAAUUCAUACGCCCAAAAGUUUUCUUACCCACACAAUGAUGGCCUAAACAUACUGCCUAAUGAUCUAAUUAAUUAAGAGAGCACUAAAAAGAAUUUCAAUUUACUUUUUGAUGCUCAAUCCAAUCCUACGACCAAAUACUUGUUUUACUAUGUAAGCCACUGGUCAAUCCCAUUAACUAAUUAUUUUAACACUUUCAUCACUAAAAUAUUAAUUAAGAAGCCUUAAACAGUAUUCCUUAACAAAAUUGCAACAAGGAAUUUAUAAAUUUGUAUAAGCCGCUAAACUCAUCCAAAUACACAUUAAACUAAACGAAACGAUAACAGGGGCAAACAAAUGACAUGACAUCGUUAAAAUAGAACAACGGAGCACUGAAUCACAUAUUAAGCACGGUAUUAAGCAAAACGGCGGAAAAAAGGAGGAAGUGGAACUUAUUGAAAUCUUUUCAAUCAGAGCAGCAAUGUAUGAAUAUGCACCUGGACACGAGCUUGACCGAAAAAUCGAACACCUCGAAUCGCAGCGGAAUCUUGAACACAAAUGAUUUCAAUCAAACUCCAUUGGAUUUAUAAGCUACUGUCACUUGGAGAUGAAAAGACUCCAUUCUUUACUUACUCUGACCGUCUCUUAGAGUACUCCAGAUGCCUCGUUUUUGGUCUGGUGUGUACGGCUGUAGGGAGAUGAAGAUGGGUGGAGUUGAAGGGCGGUGUUUGGAUUCCGGCGAGCUGUUGCUACUCUGUAUUUUAGAGUAUGGCUCCCUGGUUCUCUAAGGUCGUAAGAUGAAGAUGACGAAGUCAGGAGGGACAAUGGGUGUAACAACUUAAGGAGAUGAAGAAUGGUGGGGGGNN
rnacentral:lncRNA from 1 species